rnacentral:rRNA from 1 species
GACAGAGGGUGCAAACGUUGCUCGGAAUUACUGGGCGUAAAGCGCGUGUAGGCGGGCUGAUAAGUCGGACGUGAAAGCCCUGGGCUCAACCCAGGAACUGCAUCCGAAACUGUCAGUCUGGAGUGGUGGAGAGGGAAGCAGAAUUCCUGGUGUAGAGGUGAAAUUCGUAGAUAUCAGGAGGAACACCGGUGGCGAAGGCGGCUUCCUGGACACUAACUGACGCUGAGACGCGAAAGCGUGGGGAGCAAACAGG